AACGAACGCUGGCGGCAGGCCUAACACAUGCAAGUCGAACGCCCCGCAAGGGGAGUGGCAGGCGGGUGAGUAACGCGUAGGAACCUUCCCAGUGGUACGGAAUAACUGACCGAAAGGUUGGCUAAUACCGUAUACGCCCGAAAGGGGAAAGAUUUAUCGCCAUUGGAUGGGCCCGCGUCGGAUUAGCUAGUUGGUGAGGUAAUGGCUCACCAAGGCGACGAUCCGUAGCUGGUCUGAGAGGAUGAUCAGCCACACUGGGACUGAGACACGGCCCAGACUCCUACGGGAGGCAGCAGUGGGGAAUAUUGGACAAUGGGCGCAAGCCUGAUCCAGCCAUGCCGCGUGAGUGAUGAAGGUCUUCGGAUUGUAAAACUCUUUCGCCGGGGAAGAUAAUGACGGUACCCGGAGAAGAAGCUCCGGCUAACUUCGUGCCAGCCGCCGCGGUAA
rnacentral:rRNA from 1 species